rnacentral:sRNA from 1 species
GUUAUUUCGGACUACGCUAUUAGUCUAAGUCCUUUAAUGGGCUACGUUAUUGGGGUCAAGACACCUACGGAUACUCCUCAAGUCUGUAGCUCUGUCGUUAGUCAUUAAACAAUUCUUAGAGUCAUGGGAUAGUGUGACCAGCUGAACAAACCUUAAUAACUUUGACGGUGAGGAUCAACCUGUUUUGUGUGUUUCAGG